GAGGUACUUCCUUCGUCCGGAAAUACUUGUCACUAAAAUGGAUAAAAUGAUAUGUAUCUAAACGUAUUUUAAUUCUAAAUGCAUUUUUUUUGUCCAUUUUGAUGAUAAGUAUUUUCGGACGGAUGGAUAGUAUGUA
rfam:Triticum urartu cultivar G1812 contig171862, whole genome shotgun sequence.